CGAGGCCUGCUCCUCCACCCUAGCCACCACCUACAGCAGCGGCAGCCAGAACGAGAAGCAGAUUGUGACGACUGACCUGCGCCAGAAAUGCACCGAAUCGCACACUGGCACCUCCGCUUCUGCCCCACUUGCUGCGGGCAUCAUUGCCCUUGCUCUGGAGGCCAACAAGAACCUCACCUGGCGCGACAUGCAGCACCUAGUGGUGCAGACCUCCAAGCCGGC